GUGUUUGAUUGUCAUUAUUUUCCAUGAAAAAUAUCAUUUUUUUCCAACUUUUAUUGUUUGAUAGCCACUAUUUUCCAUGGAAAUUGUCACUUUUUCCAUGGAAAAUGGUCACUUUUCCAUGAAAAUUAUUCAUUCAAUUUUUUAGGACUUUCUUCCAUCACAAAAGCCUGUUUAGUGAAGUGAACCAGUGCCAUAUUUUUUAUUCUGAUCCGAAUGUCAACUAUUUAAUUAAUUAUAGGAUACAUUAAUAUUAACAAUGUUGUUCUCAUUGCUUAAGUUAAAAAGUGCACUACUAUUAUGCAAGAACAAUAUGCUGCUAGAUCGACGUUUGUCCAACAUAUAUGAAGGAGAUCUAGCAAUUGCAGACCAAAUACAUUAACAAUGUUUAUCAACUCUCCUUGAUUCUGUAACAGAAUCUUCACUCUCUCAAUUGGUGCAACAGCACUUUUUCGCUAUAAUUGUAGCAGACCCUACCAUAAUAAAAUCCACGAAAAUUUUUUUCAGAUCGUGUUGCCAUCUCAAAUCCCUCUCCCUUGCCCUCCGCCCCUCCCUAGACCUGCACAGUGAACAUCCAAAUGAUGUUUCAGAAAUUUUUUAUCUUUUCUCUAGCUAUGUUUUCCUUUUAAUUCUCCUCCUCGUAGGUUUUUACCACUUUUUAAAAUUAAAAACAGACUCUAUGAGGUACUUUUGUAAAUGAGAUUAAUGGACUGAAACCAAGCAGAAAGACGAGCCGAAUCAACAACUGCCUGAACCGAACAGCAAGAACCCAGCAAAACACACUCUGACCAAGGCUAGCUGCAAACCGAAACUGAUUAAAUCACCCAAAAUCUAGAGAAUUUUGGACGACUAACCAGCAAAACCAAGCUAUCUGAAUGCAAAUUCCAAGCAGGAUUAACCUCCCAAACAUGCAACCAAUUUGACCAGCAACAACCAGAAACAAAACUGAAGUAGAACUCCAACCUAAAACUUGAGAAAAAGUCGAAUUGGAACAAGAAAAUGAAAUUCCUAAUUGCUAAUUCGAUUUUAAUUAAGAGAGUCCAAGUAAAAUCAAAUACAACAAGAAGAAAUACCACAAAACCAAGAAAGCUCGAAAGUGCAAGAGGCACUAAAAGGGAGAUUUUCUCUCUCUAACCACUUUACUGACUGAGAGCUCAAAAACUUGAAACUUUCAAGACCAUUGCAGUACCAUUUUGGCCUGAGAUUUCAUUUGGCCAGCAUUUAAUCCUUCAAGAAACUUUAGAAUCUUCAGACGGAGAUCUAGCAAUUGCAUACCUCUAAGAAACAUAUCCGUAUAAGCACUCACAAAAGAAUUCUUCCAAUAAAUCCACUCAAUUCGGCCCAAAAGAAAUGCAUACACAAUCUAUGAAAUAAAACCCUAUAUUUCGAAAUCGAUUGAAUGGAUCCCCAGUUCCUAUCUCUUGUGGAAUAGCAAAAUUUCAAAUCACAGAUGCAAAUCUAAAUCAACCAAUUUCUUCAAAUUUAAACUCCAUACUGAUGCAACUGAGUAUUAAAACGCAUACAAACGAAAAAGAAAGGGGAAAUAUGCUUGUAUAUACUCGUUGAUCUGAGCAAUAGCAUGACCUUCUGCCUGAAUUUCUUUUCGGUGGGUUUAUGAGAGAGAAAGGGAAGUAAGACGAGAAUGAAGGUAUUGUGGGUGAGUGGGAGAGAGAAGGAAUUCCAUGGAAAAUAAAAUCCUCCUCAUGCUAGGGAAAAUAUUUUCCUUGAUUUCAUGGAAAAUGUGGUCACGUGAGCAAAAGUGGGAAAACAUUU
rnacentral:lncRNA from 1 species